GACGAACCGUGCGAACGUUGUUCGGAAUCACUGGGCUUAAAGGGUGCGUAGGCGGGCUCGUCAGUCGGGGGUGAAAUCCUGGAGCUCAACUCCAGAACUGCCUUCGAUACUGGAAGACUCGAGUCCGGGAGAGGUGAGUGGAACUGCGAGUGUAGAGGUGAAAUUCGUAGAUAUUCGCAAGAACACCAGUGGCGAAGGCGGCUCACUGGCCCGGUACUGACGCUGAGGUGCGAAAGCGUGGGAGCAAACAGGG
rnacentral:rRNA from 1 species